AUUGAACGCUGGCGGCAGGCCUAACACAUGCAAGUCGAGCGGAUGAAGGGAGCUUGCUCCUGGAUUCAGCGGCGGACGGGUGAGUAAUGCCUAGGAAUCUGCCUGGUAGUGGGGGAUAACGUCCGGAAACGGGCGCUAAUACCGCAUACGUCCUGAGGGAGAAAGUGGGGGUUCUUCGGACCUCACGCUACAGGAUGAGCCUAGGUCGGAUUAGCUAGUUGGUGGGGUAAAGGCCUACCAAGGCGACGAUCCGUAACUGGUCUGAGAGGAUGAUCAGUCACACUGGAACUGAGACACGGUCCAGACUCCUACGGGAGGCAGCAGUGGGGAAUAUUGGACAAAGGGCGAAAGCCUGAUCCAGCCAUGCCGCGUGUGUGAAGAAGGUCUUCGGAUUGUAAAGCACUUUAAGUUGGGAGGAAGGGCAGUAAGUUAAUACCUUGCUGUUUUGACGUUACCAACAGAAUAAGCACCGGCUAACUUCGUG
rnacentral:rRNA from 1 species